rnacentral:rRNA from 1 species
GACGCUAUAUCACAUGCAGUCGAGCGGUAGCACAGAGAGCUUGCUCUCGGGUGACGAGCGGCGGACGGGUGAGUAAUGUCUGGGAAACUGCCUGAUGGAGGGGGAUAACUACUGGAAACGGUAGCUAAUACCGCAUAAUGUCGCAAGACCAAAGUGGGGGACCUUCGGGCCUCAUGCCAUCAGAUGUGCCCAGAUGGGAUUAGCUAGUAGGUGGGGUAACGGCUCACCUAGGCGACGAUCCCUAGCUGGUCUGAGAGGAUGACCAGCCACACUGGAACUGAGACACGGUCCAGACUCCUACGGGAGGCAGCAGUGGGGAAUAUUGCACAAUGGGCGCAAGCCUGAUGCAGCCAUGCCGCGUGUGUGAAGAAGGCCUUCGGGUUGUAAAGCACUUUCAGCGGGGAGGAAGGCGUUAAGGUUAAUAACCUUGGCGAUUGACGUUACCCGCAGAAGAAGCACCGGCUAACUCCGUGCCAGCAGCCGCGGUAAUACGGAGGGUGCAAGCGUUAAUCGGAAUUACUGGGCGUAAAGCGCACGCAGGCGGUCUGUCAAGUCGGAUGUGAAAUCCCCGGGCUCAACCUGGGAACUGCAUUCGAAACUGGCAGGCUAGAGUCUUGUAGAGGGGGGUAGAAUUCCAGGUGUAGCGGUGAAAUGCGUAGAGAUCUGGAGGAAUACCGGUGGCGAAGGCGGCCCCCUGGACAAAGACUGACGCUCAGGUGCGAAAGCGUGGGGAGCAA